AAAUGAAUCAAAACUUUCAACAACGGAUCUCUUGGUUCUGGCAUCGAUGAAGAACGCAGCGAAAUGCGAUAAGUAAUGUGAAUUGCAGAAUUCAGUGAAUCAUCGAAUCUUUGAACGCACAUUGCGCCCUCUGGUAUUCCGGAGGGCAUGCCUGUUCGAGCGUCAUUUC
rnacentral:rRNA from 1 species